UGCAAUUUCAUAAAACACAUGAAGUACACAUGGUUAAAAAAGCCAGAAUUAGCCAGAAGGCUAGUUUUCAUCUGUAGUCCCCUGGCCAUGAUGUAAAAAAGCAGUAAAAUACAUCUACAAGACAAUAUAAUACAGGAUACAUAAUCAAACUAUAUUAUUAAGAGAGAAUAAAACCAUAAUUUUUUUGAUCAUAACAAAAAGACAACAUUCACUCCGAUACUUUCAUAAUGCAAGAAACCAUAUUCGGUAACUUAAACUUGAAAAUGGACACAACAUGCCAAAACAAAAUGUUUAUAUUUAUACUUGAUUAUAAUACCUUUCCAAAAUUUCCCAGCUUAAAUUCCCCUGGAAAUUUACGUGAGAUUUUCCACUCUCAGAAAACCUAUACAGCAGUGACGACAUUUGAAAUUUUUAUCAUGGUUUAUUGGUGAACCGUAAACAUACACACUGACAGAGCUGUACAUGUCCCUUGGCUAUAGUGUCAGAGCUAUAAUUGAAAACAGUGCUUUCGUAUCCCAUGUGUAAAUGUGGUUUACAUUUUUUAUUGUAUCAACCUUUUUUUUCCUAUUAGGUGUUUAUUCCUCCCAUCUCACCCUUAAACCUGGUCACCCCUCAGCUUUGGUUUAGCACAGACCUGAGAUCCCAGUGCUAUUUUUAGUCUUUAGUCUACCUCGCUGUCUUGUGUUUCAGUCUGAGACGUCCCAAACGGCACAGAGUGCUCAAUUCCUCACUCCAAACAUGGGCAAAAGAAGUCCUGCCAAACUCAUUGCCUGUCUUUCCUCUUUUUGUGCAGUGUGUUACCCAUGUAAUACCCCCUGUGACUCAUAUAGUGUAGUGUCUAUGUGGCAAGCCCAGCAACACAUGCAUUCCUCUGUCUGGAUGACAGAGAAAUACGCUAUGAGAAAUCUGAAGAGUAAACUUAGCCAACAGAGGAAUGGUGCUGACUUAUUGUUCCUCAUCAGCCCCACAUUCUCUGACGACCACCCAGCAUUUCUUCUCACAUGUGGUCCUUUUCUCCGUAUCUUUUACUGAAGUGUGCAUUCAUUUUAUGACCCUUGCCAACGUCUGCUCUCAUUGAAUUUGCCUUAACAAACAACCUAAUGUUCCCACUUGGGUCGCCAUGACAACAGGGACCCUCAAUCCCUCCUGGUCCAACCCACUCUUCCCACCAGCAGCAAGUUAAGAAACAAGACUACACGGAGACCCCAGUCAAGUUUGAUUUUGGCGCAUGAUGACGGCUAGAGGGUGGCCCUUUGUAACCAUGGCGAUGCGAGAGUGAGCCUGUUAAAGCCACUUAUGAUGGUGAUAGUAGACAAAUGAAUGUGUCCUUGCUACUAACAAACUCAAAAGUUUAAUCAAAAAAAUGUAUCUAGUACUUGUUUAGUUUCAAGAUUAAACCGAACAAAAAAACUG